CUCAGGAAAAAACAAAAACACACUUCACACCUGAUCCUUCUCCCACAUGUUCACUGAUCCAGGCAGUACGCCGAAGGAAUUCUCAUAAAAGCACUGCAUCACGGAGAGGGUGACGUUUUAGUUGUGCUGCGGUUGUCGUGGCAACGCUAAACAUGUAGUCACUGUUUGUUAGGAAAGAAGUUGUUCCUUGAGAGACGUCAGUCUGAGAACAUUCCAAAGAAAAUGUGAAAAUGUUACUCAUACCCACUAAGGCCUUCUGUGGAGCUGUUCAUAUUAUUGCCGGAAAAUUUUUAAGCAAAGCUGGAUUAGUGGUGUUUUAGUUAAAGACGCAUGAAUCAGUCAUAAUAUAAAAAUAAACAUAGGAACAAUCACGCUGUACAGUAAUUGGUUUUAUAGCAAAUAGUUUAGCACCGACUGUUCAGCACAAAGUUUUAUCUCAGUCAGAAACCAUGUACGGAACAUAAAGAUUUUCAGCUUCUUGAUGUUCUACUUGAUUCUACUUGAUGGCCGUGAUAUCAUCUUUGGUGAUACCAGAUAAGAUAAGGCGUUUUUUUUGUCCCUGUAGAGUGUUGUGGCAACGGCUCCAGCGACUUUAGUUCAUGGAAACAACAACAAACAGCUGAUUAGCCUAGAAAUGUUCACAUAACUGUCGCCGUGGUUAUAAAUAUGAGUGACUUUCUGACCUUCUGUGAGAGUGCAGUUGUCGUCGCUGAAUUGUAUUCGGACUUUUAAGUCCUUAUCUCUUCCUUACAGUACUUGUAGUUAAGUAAUGAGCCGUCACAGAGUUUCUCUGAAAUAGUUUGAGAGGACAGUGAAGUGAGCUGGAGAGCUAAUUCUGGUGGGUCGCCAAACUGGAUUAUACCCUUAAUACCAGUGUUAUCCACUUCUACAGCUUUUGUUUCUCAUCUGUACCAGAGCAUGUGAGCAGAGUGGAGCUGAUGUCAGCAAAGUGAUGGGAAAAGUUCUUUAUAUAUGCAAAUAUAUGUAUUUAAAGGUAAUGAGCAUUGAUUUAUAUCCACUGGCUUUGUGUGGUUCUCCAGACUUAGUUCCUUUCAGCUUUUGAUCCACACCUUUUUAUGUAAAGUGUCUUCAGGAAUCAUGCAAAGGAGUGUGUUUCUGUGUGUAGUGGAGUCAACAGAGGGAAUGUCAGGCAUGAAAAGUAUCUGACCUCUGAAAGUGAAAAAAAACACAUCAUCAACCGACAUUUCACGGUGCACAUUGUCUCACUAUCGUUUCCUUCAUUUAAGUGCAUGACAGCAUGUGGGAGUGCAUUGUGUUUGUGUGGUCAGCACUGUUUGUUUGAAUGUUCCCUCAUUUGAAGCAUGGUGUCAGCAUGGUUUUGGCCUGAUGACCAGUAGCUUCACUAAUGCCGUCGGGUCAAGUUUGUUUGUUGACCAAAACCUCCUCGACGUUACUCCUCAUUUCAUCACAUUUCCCUGCUUCACUCCCUGCAGGGCCGUAGAUAACGGCAGGGGUUUACCCUCCUGUAGGGGAAAAACAGAAACCCAGUGAUAUAUUCUGGUCAAAUGCAAAUGUAGUUUCACAGUGUAGGACAUUCAUAAUCACAGACAGGACUAUAGUGUAGUGUGUGUGUUUUUAUUAUAUAAUGGCUGUUAGUCUGUGUAUUUAAAGAGCAACACCGAGCAGUAAUAAUGUGUUUCAGCUGUGUUGAGUAAACACGGUGCUCUUUUGUCAUUGAUAUGAGAAUCUGGUUGAUGUUGCUUGUUAUAGUAAUAACUUUCUUACUCAGGUUUCACACCAACAUACUGUGAGAAUUCACCAUGACAUAUCAUCUCACAUGUUUGUGAAAAUAAGCCAUCACUGAUCAAAAGAAGUACUUCAGGAGUAUUUAUUCAGCGUAUUCCCUUUACUACAUUUAGAUGCUGAUAAACUUGGACUCAGUCAUACAUAAAGUAUACAUAUUAUUGGAAGAAGAUCAUUAGAAAAACUCAGGUUGAGCAGUUGAAAAAUGAAAUGAUGAGAUAGUUUGUACGACUGAUGUCGACGUCAGAGCUGACAGCCACAAGUUAGAAAAAAAAGAGAAAAACAAACUCAGGAAAACUCAUUGGUUUGUCCCACAUAUGGCAUGGAGUGAUGUAACUUGGGUGGUCUGGUCCUGUUUGCCAGACCUGAGCCACAGUCUAACCACAGUCGACAGAUGUCAGCAUCAACGCAGCAGUCUUAAAAAUCCCUCACUGACCCCCUGCAUCAUCCACGUCUCCUUCUGUCACAUGUGUCUCUCCCUGUUCGUACCUACAACUCACUGUGUCCCAUGUUGUCAGUCUUACUGUGCUCAAUAAAACGGCACCGCCGGGCUCCAACCCCUUUGAAGACGAUGAAGACGAGGAGGACGAGGAGGAAACGGCGUUGGAGCAGCAGACUGUAGUCAACCACAUCAGUGCCACCAAA